rnacentral:rRNA from 1 species
AUGAAACCUGAUAUGACUUAGUGGCGGACGGGUGAGUAACACGUGAGCAACCUGCCUUUCAGAGGGGGAUAACGGCUGGAAACGGUCGCUAAUACCGCAUGACGUGUUCGGAUGGCAUCAUCUGAACAUCAAAGACUUAUCGCUGAAAGAUGGGCUCGCGUCUGAUUAGAUAGUUGGUGGGGUAACGGCCUACCAAGUCUACGAUCAGUAGCCGGACUGAGAGGUUGAACGGCCACAUUGGGACUGAGAUACGGCCCAGACUCCUACGGGAGGCAGCAGUGGGGAAUAUUGCACAGUGGGGGAAACCCUGAUGCAGCAACGCCGCGUGAAGGAUGACGGUUUUCGGAUUGUAAACUUCUUUUCUUAGUGACGAAGACAGUGACGGUAGCUAAGGAAUAAGCAUCGGCUAACUACGUGCCAGCAGCCGCGGUAAUACGUAGGAUGCAAGCGUUAUCCGGAUUUACUGGGUGUAAAGGGAGCGCAGGCGGGACUGCAAGUUGGAUGUGAAAUACCGUGGCUUAACCACGGAACUGCAUCCAAAACUGUAGCUCUUGAGUGAAGUAGAGGCAAGCGGAAUUCCGAGUGUAGCGGUGAAAUGCGUAGAUAUUCGGAGGAACACCAGUGGCGAAGGCGGCUUGCUGGGCUUUAACUGACGCUGAGGCUCGAAAGUGUGGGGAGCAAACAGGAUUAGAUACCCUGGUAGUCCACACUGUAAACGAUGAUAGCUAGGUGCGGGGGGUCUGACCCCUUCCGUGCCGGAGUUAACGCAAUAAGCUAUCCACCUGGGGAGUACGACCGCAAGGUUGCAACUCAAAGGAAUUGACGGA